rnacentral:rRNA from 1 species
GACGUAGGGGGCCAGCGUUGUUCGGAAUACUGGGUGUAAAGGGUUCGUAGGCGGUGUGGCAAGUCGGGAGUGAAAUCUCUGGGCUCAACUCAGAGACUGCUUCCGAAACUGCUGUGCUGGAGUGUGGGAGAGGCGCGUGGAAUUGCAGGUGUAGCGGUGAAAUGCGUAGAUAUCUGCAGGAACACCCGUGGCGAAAGCGGCGCGCUGGACCACUACUGACGCUGAGACGCGAAAGCGUGGGGAGCGAACCGG